AGAAGAAACUAACCAGGAUUCCCCUAGUAACGGCGAGCGAACCGGGAAGAGCCCAGCUUGAAAAUCGGAGGGCUUCGCCCCUCGAAUUGUAGUCUGGAGAAGCGUCCUCUGCAUCGGACCGGGCCCAAGUUCCCUGGAACGGGGCGAGAGAAAGGGUGAGAUCCCCGUCGAGCCCGGACCCUGAUGCUCCACGAGGCGCUGUCGGCGAGUCGGGCUGUUUGGGAAUGCAGCCCUAAGCGGGUGGUAAAUUCCAUCCAAGGCUAAAUACCGGCGAGAGACCGAUAGCGAACAAGUACCGCGAGGGAAAGAUGAAAAGGACUUUGAAAAGAGAGUUAAAGAGUGCUUGAAAUUGCUGGGAGGGAAGCGAAUGGAAGCUGCGGGUGCGCCCCGGUUGGAUGCGGAACGGCUCUAGCUGGUCCGCCGCUCAACGCGGGGCGCUGGUCAGCGUGGGCCGUCGCGGCGGGACAAGAGCCGGCUUUCGUUGCCGGCCGAUGCCGUUGUGGCGGCCGAGGAACGAAGCGCGCGCCCUUCUGGGCGGGCCCCUCGGGGCACCGCGCGCUCGGGACGCUGGCGCAUCGAGCUCUCCAUCCGACCCGUCUUGAAACACGGACCAAGGAGUCUAACAUGUAUGCGAGCCGGUGGGCGGCAAACCCAUUGAGGCGCAAGGAACCUGACAGGUGGGAUCCCCCCUCCGGGGGAGCACCAUCGACCGACCGUGAUCUUCUGUGAAAGGUUUGAGUGCGAGCAUGCCCGUUGGGACCCGAAAGAUGGUGAACUAUGCCUGAGCAGGGCGAAGCCAGAGGAAACUCUGGUGGAGGCUCGUAGCGAUACUGACGUGCAAAUCGUUCGUCAGACUUGGGUAUAGGGGCGAAAGACUAAUCGAACCAUCUAGUAGCUGGUUCCCUCCGAAGUUUCCCUCAGGAUAGCUGGAGCUCGUGCACUAGUUUUAUCAGGUAAAGCGAAUGAUUAGAGGCAUCGGGGGUGUAACACCCUCGACCUAUUCUCAAACUUUAAAUAGGUAAGAUGCCUGGGUUGCUCGGUUGAACCCCGGCGCGGAAU
rnacentral:rRNA from 1 species